CUUCGCGCCUAUAGCGGCAUGGACCCACCCGAUCCCAUCCCGAACUCGGAAGUUAAGCAUGCCAGCGCCGAUGAUAGUUGGGGGGCGACCCCCUGCAAAAGUAGGUCGGCGCGAGGA
rnacentral:rRNA from 2 species